AGUUAAACAGUACGUGAAAUUGUUGAAAGGGAAACGAUUAAAGUCAGUCGUACCUACGAGUAAUCAACCUACACGAGCGCGAUUUUGUGGGUAUGAAGAGGUAAAACCUUCAUGGUUGCAAAUUGGUGUUCUUUGGGCGUACUUUCUCGUAUGGUAGGUUAACAUCAAUUUCGAUCGUUACAAAAUGACGGGAGGAAUGUAGCUUCGACUUCGGUUGAAGUGUUAUAGCCUCUGGUAGAUGUAAUGAUUGGGAUUGAGGAUUGCAACGGAUACCCUCUGGGCUAUUCGUCUGAUCUCUGGAAGUUACCUUGGUGUCGAAAGCAUGCUUAUGACAUUAAGAAUGACGGCCAAAAGGUUAGAACGGAAUUAAAUUCGUUAAGGAUGUUGACGUAAUGGCUUUAAA
rnacentral:misc_RNA from 1 species